UACAAAGGUCUCAAGCGUUGUUCGGAUUCAUUGGGCGUAAAGGGUGCGUAGGUGGCGGGGUAAGUCAGGUGUGAAAUCUCGGAGCUCAACUCCGAAACUGCACUUGAUACUGCCUUGCUCGAGUACUGGAGAGGAGAUUGGAAUUUACGGUGUAGCAGUGAAAUGCGUAGAUAUCGUAAGGAAGACCAGUGGCGAAGGCGAAUCUCUGGACAGUUACUGACACUGAGGC
rnacentral:rRNA from 1 species